GACCAGCUGAAACACAGUGAUGUAGGCCGCACCACCGCCUGAAAAGCGGAAGGUCGGCGGUUCGAUCCCGCCCCUGGCCACCA
rnacentral:tRNA from 1 species